rnacentral:rRNA from 1 species
UAAGGAAUAUUGGUCAAUGGACGCAAGUCUGAACCAGCCAUGCCGCGUGAAGGAUUAAGGUCCUCUGGAUUGUAAACUUCUUUUAUCUGGGACGAAAAAAGGCGAUUCUUCGUCACUUGACGGUACCAGAUGAAUAAGCACCGGCUAACUCCGUGCCAGCAGCCGCGGUAAUACGGAGGGUGCAAGCGUUAUCCGGAUUCACUGGGUUUAAAGGGUGCGUAGGCGGGCAGGUAAGUCAGUGGUGAAAUCCCUGGAGCUUAACUCCAGAACUGCCAUUGAUACUAUCUGUCUUGAAUAUUGUGGAGGUAAGCGGAAUAUGUCAUGUAGCGGUGAAAUGCUUAGAUAUGACAUAGAACACCUAUUGCGAAGGCAGCUUACUACGCAUAUAUUGACGCUGAGGCACGAAAGCGUGGGGAUCAAACAGGAUUAGAUACCCUGGUAGUCCACGCCCUAAACGAUGGAUACUCGACAUACGCGAUACACUGUGUGUGUCUGAGCGAAAGCAUUAAGUAUCCCCACCUGGGAAGUACGACCGCAAGGUUGAAACUUAAAUGAAUUGACGGGGUCAUAGCUGUUUCCUG